UUAUUUUAUCAUCUGCUACCUCCUCAACCCUUAAGCACGGGCACAGGAAGCGAAAAAUAUUCGCCUUCGACAAUUUCGACAUUCAAAAUAUACAUAUGUAAAUCUGUAUGUAUGUAGGCUUUUACGAGUAGUAAUACUUCUAAAUACCCAAUUGUCUUGAAAGGGGGACAUUUGAGGUUUUGGGCAUGGACCUGUAACGCAGCUGAUGAUCCGCUACUUUGAUUUUCGUUGUUAAUUAUCCUUUUGAAAAUGACGUCACAUUUGCAUAACUGCUGUUGACAUGUCCGCAAGUUGGCUAUUUAUAAGAAAUUGAAAAUAAAAAGUCAAAUAAAAGUA